AACGCAUCUUGCACCCUUUGGUAUUCCAAAGGGUACGCCUGUUUCAGUAUCAUUAUAACCUUUCUCCUCCAAGGCUUUUUGGCCAAGGAGGGGAAAGAGCAUAACCGGUGGCCCAGCGGUCCUCCCAUCAGGGGGGAUUGUCUCGGCUGGAAUGACUGUUGCAAUGGUGGGCCAAAUGGUCUCCCGCACUUGAUAAAUGUAACUUUUUAUAAAGAGCGGGGCCGGUCUGCCGAAAGUUGUAACUAAACCCUUUUACCUUUGAUCUGAAAUCAGGCGGGAUUACCCGCUGAACUUAA
rnacentral:misc_RNA from 1 species